AAGUCCCUGCGGUGUUCGAGACUCGGCCAUACAUUCCUUGAACCAAUGCUUAUGGCAUGCAGGUUGCCCGAUAGACACGUGGGCGUGAUUGCCACUUUUGUGGUGAACCCGAAGCCUGUCUGAAAGCGACCACCUUGAACCUCGGUUCCAGGAUGCCGGCCUUGACGGCACAGGCGGGGCAUUA
rnacentral:other from 1 species